rnacentral:rRNA from 1 species
AUUGAACGCUGGCGGCAGGCCUAACACAUGCAAGUCGAGCGAGCGGCGGACGGGUGAGUAAUGUAUGGGGACUGCCCGAUAGAGGGGGAUAACUACAGGAAACGGUAGCUAAUACCGCAUACUAUUGGAUUACACAUAUGGGAUUAGCUAGUAGGUGAGGUAAAGGCUCAUCUAGGCGACGAUCACUAGCUGGUCUGAGAGGAUGAUCAGGCACACUGGGACUGAGACACGGCCCAGACUCCUACGGAGGCAGCAGUGGGGAAUAUUGCACAAUGGGCGAAAGCCUGAUGCAGCCAUGCCGCGUGUAUGAAGAAGGCCCUAGGGUUGUAAAGUACUUUCAGUCGGGAGGCGUUACCAACAGAAGAAGCACCGGCUAACUCCGUGCCAGCAGCCGCGGUAAUUC